CCCCUCCCCCCAAGUGCUCACGGGCAGGCCAUUUAAGCCACUGAACUUGAGUUUUCAGUUCCUGAAAGGAAAAGAGGGAGCUGCGAGCUUGCGGCCAGUUCUCAAAUCUCGGUCUCCGACCCCUCUAGAGAAGUCUUGCAUUAGGACAAAGAAAAUCAUCAAAGCCAAAGCAGCUGACAGAAAGCAUCUGCAACAAUCCAUAACCAUGGACAACACUUCUUCAGCAAAAGGAAGGGGAAGCAGCUCCUCACCCUUGCUUCAGAACUGAACAGAAGAACAAAAACAUUCCCAUUCAAGACCUCGGUGACCCUGGAUCUGUCAUUUCAAUUUUCUGGAUCUGUUUCCUCACCUUUAAAAUGAGGAUAAUGAUGCCCCUGGUGCCCACUUCACAGGAUUCUUGUGAGUAGGAAAUAAUGUAUGUAAUGAGCUUUACAAACCUCAGGAAAAAAUUCUUUAUAAAUGUCAACUUCUCCCUUGCCUGUAAUGUAGACUCCUCGAGGGCAGUGUGUGUGUGUGUGUGUGUGUGUGUGUGUGUGUGUGUGUGUGUGUGUGUGUGCAUAUUCCUAGCUCUCAGCAUAGGAGGUGGGUACAAUAUUUUUUUUUGGCAGCUACUUGCUAUUAGUUUCAUGAUAGGAACUCAAGGAGAGGAGACUCCUUCUUAGGUAUAUCUGCAACUUGUUGUCUUAGAUUUAAGUGACUCACCCAGAGUCUCACAAGUAUGUGUCAGAAUCAGAAUUUGAACCCAGAUCUUCCUGCCUCCAAUGGUCAGUUUUCUAUCAGUUGAACUAUGUUCUCUCUCAUCUUGUACAUAUAUGUUUCCCAAGUUGAAUUGAAUUGACUCCAUGAUUCAUGAGGUUUGUCUCCCCGAAAGCAAUUCCACUAACUAGUGUGAGUUUGUCUUCAAUGGAUGAUUUGAUGUUCCCAUUAAGGCAGACCCAGUGAAUGCCAGACAGGGAGGGCAUCUCCCAGAUUUUAUUUUGAACGAAAGAAGUAUCUGUCCCAGUGAGUUACAUGUUUUUCAUCUUCACUUUUGAAACGCAAAUUGUAAGUAUCCCUUCCACAUCACUCCUUUCCUUGUUGUUAUUUUUAAUAUCUCUGCAUAAGAAAUUAAAUGAUAAUUUUUUUAAACCCUUAACUUCUGUCUUAGAAUCAAUACUGUGUAUUGGUUCCAAGGCAGAAGAGUGCAAUGGGGUUUAAGUGACUUUCCCAGGGUCACAUAUCUAGGAAGUGUUUGAAGUUAGAUUUGAACCCAGGACCUCCCAUCUCUAGGCCUGGCUCUCAAUCCACUGAGCCGUCCAGCUGCCUCCAUAAAUGAGAAUUUUGAAGGAGUUUUGCAGAAGCCACUGAUGACACAUGAAGGCCAGCAGAUGGCACAGAGAAAGUUUAGAAACUCAGAAAUUCAUAAAAUAUAUGUGUAGUACUGCAUAUUAAGAGUUUACCCUUUAAUACCACAAAUAUACACAAUUCCUUUUGCUGUAAACACUCCAUAAGGGGGCAUUUGGGUAGCUCAGUGGAUUGAGGGGAGGUCCUGGGUUCAAAUCUGGCCUCAGACACUUUCCAGCUGUGUGACCCUGGGCAAGUCCCUUGAUCCCUGUUGCCUAGCCCUUACCACUUUUCUGCCUUGGAACCAGUAUGCAAUAUUGAUUCCAAGAUGGAAGGUGAGGGUUUAAAAAAAAAAACACUCCAUAAAAGAAAAAAGGAAAAAUUCAGACUUCUCCUCUGGUACCGAGUUGGUUCCUUGCCCCUGUGAUGUGGAAGGGAUAUCUCAAAAAAUUGAUUGUUGAUUUGGCACUAACAGCCAUGAUGCAAUGAGCUACACUGAGGAGGGAUGAAGGAGUUGGAUGGUAGUCAUGGAAACAGAAAAAAUAAAUAAAAGAAAAAAAUUAGUGGAGAGGGGGCAUCUUUAAGAGUGAUGAGGAAAUUAGUUCAGAAGCACAUCAAUGAUGGCUGACUGGCUAUAAAUGUUUUAUUGGGGCCAGAAUUCUGCUGAGGAAUUGCCGAGUAAUACAGCCAAUCAUGUUCAUUUUAAUACCAAACAGCUCCAAGU